rnacentral:rRNA from 1 species
CCAGACUCCUACGGGAGGCAGCAGUGAGGAAUAUUGGUCAAUGGGCGCAAGCCUGAACCAGCCAAGUCGCGUGAGGGAAGACGGUCCUAUGGAUUGUAAACCUCUUUUGUCGGGGAGCAAAGCGCGGUACGAGUACCGCGAAGGAGAGUACCCGAAGAAAAAGCAUCGGCUAACUCCGUGCCAGCAGCCGCGGUAAUACGGAGGAUGCGAGCGUUAUCCGGAUUUAUUGGGUUUAAAGGGUGCGUAGGCGGGCUGUUAAGUCAGCGGUCAAAUGUCGGGGCUCAACCCCGGCCUGCCGUUGAAACUGGCGGCCUCGAGUGGGCGAGAAGUAUGCGGAAUGCGUGGUGUAGCGGUGAAAUGCAUAGAUAUCACGCAGAACUCCGAUUGCGAAGGCAGCAUACCGGCGCCCGACUGACGCUGAGGCACGAAAGCGUGGGUAUCGAACAGGAUUAGAUACCCGAGUAG